rnacentral:misc_RNA from 1 species
GAAUUUUUCUACAAAUAAAUGUAAGUAAUAUGAGUUGGUUAGGUUAACAAUGAAUUAUAAAAGCUAGGUUGAAAGAGUAUGAAAGCCAAACGUGCUAAAAUAUAAACAAUAUUUAUAAUUAGGAUUCCUGGGAAUCUUAGGAUUGGCAGCCCACAUAUAGGGGUUCAGUCGCCAAAGAUUGAAUAAAUCCUAAAAUAUAGCUUACACUGAAUUAGUGCAAAUUGUA